AUGGAGCUGUACUUACGUUAUUUUAAAAGGUGAACAUGAAAACAAACCAAUAGGAAGAAAAUAACAAGUUUUUUCCAAACUAUACUCAGAAAAAAGUAUGCAGAUUUUAUGAUAUGUGUUUUCAGAUAUUGUCCAUCACAGCCUUUGUGGAGUUUUCAGGUUCACACAUGCAACAUGGGGAAUAUGCAAUAAACGUUUUUUAAUCUAUCUUUCAUGUGUGUUGGUCACAG
rnacentral:lncRNA from 1 species